rnacentral:rRNA from 1 species
UACGGAGGGUGCAAGCGUUGCUCGGAAUUAUUGGGCGUAAAGGGUAGGUAGGUGGUCUCAUUUGUCUGGGGCGAAAGCCUUGAGCUUAACUCAAGAAGUGCCCCAGAAACGGUGAGACUCGAGUCCUGGAGAGGGUCGUGGAAUUCCCGGUGUAGCGGUGAAAUGCGUAGAGAUCGGGAGGAACACCAGAGGCGAAGGCGGCGACCUGGACAGGAACUGACACUCAACUACGAAAGCGUGGGGAGCAAACAGG